UGCUACACCACUAAAUGGGAAAGAAGAAGACAGCCAUUGAACCACAUGAGGAAAUCGCACAUACAUAUUGAUAAUCUCAAAACACGUUCAGUGAAUGGAGAACUUUGUGUGUAUUUUUGUCUUGUAAAUGUAUUUUAUCCUGCCGAUUGAUACCAACUCAACAUGUGCCAGGUCGACGAAGAAUACAAUGGUCUGCUGGAGAGCCCAGUGGCUUCCAGCGUAACCAAAAAUUGUAAUAAGUGCAAGGAGACCACAGCAGCGCUGGUCCUGAAGCCAGGAGAAAGCCUAUGCAGGGGCUGCUUCAAGGAACACUUUGUACACAAGUUCAGAGCGAUGCUUGGCAAGAACAGGAUCAUCUUUCCCGGGGAAAAGGUGCUUCUGGCUGUGUCUGGAGGUUCCUCAUCCUGUGCAAUGCUCAAUCAAGUUCAGGAGGGUCUGGGUCAAAAUGCUCACAAGAAGCUGAGAUUCAAGCCUGGAAUUGUUUACAUUGACGAGGGCUGUCUGCUCGGCCAGUCAACAGAGAAAAGGCAGAAGACCAUGGCACAAAUCAACUCUUUGUUUAAAAUGACCGGCUUUCCUCAUCACAUCAUACCACUAGAAAUGGUCCUUAACCUUCCUCCUUCAGUAUUGGAACCAGUGCAUUUGGCAACGGAUGACCCAGCUGGUAGUUAUAAAGAGGCUGUGGAUCACUUCAUGCAGAGCAGUCCCGUCCACUCUGUGGACCCCCGAGUGGACCGGUCAGAGCUCAGUGCUCUGACUGAUGGGACAAAUCCUCAGCUCAUUGCUGAGGCUCAAACUCAAACACUGCAGGAGUUGUUUUCCAGAGUGAAGACUCUUACAGCUAAAGAAGACCUGCUACACACAUUAAGACGGCACCUGCUUGUCUCAACGGCUCGUACUGAAGGUUACAGCAAACUGAUGUUAGGCGAAAACUGUACCAGACUGGCUGUCAAACUCUUGGCUAAUAUAGCCCUGGGACGAGGAGCGCAGCUGGCUGUUGACACUGCUUUCUGUGAUCCCAGAUACGGGGACAUCGUCGCAGUCAAACCGAUGCGGGACUAUACUGCCAAAGAAAUCUCUUUGUACAACUACAUGUGGAAUGUGCCCUAUGUCUUCAUACCCAGCUUAGAAACAAAGACUGCGGACAAGUCAAGCAUCCAGCGACUUACAGAAAGCUUUGUUGUGAAGCUCCAGGUGGACUUUCCUUCCACAGUCAGCACCAUUUACAGGACGGGUGAGAAGCUUCAAACUGCCAGUGUCACUGAAGACAUAGAAAGGGCCCCUCUGAAGUGCCUCUUCUGUAUGUGCACCUUGGAUACGGCUCUGGGUGAGACCUCAGCUUUCCAGGCCACACUUAUCUCUGAGCAGCUUUCCAAUGUGGGGACAACUCCGAUGCAGGGUAUGGAGAUUUGUGUGUACCCGACACUCAAACAAAAUGUGGCGCUCCUUGUGAUCAGCAAGAUGGAGAGGAGCAUUGUCAAGCACAGGCAGUUUGCUGCUCUCAUAAGGGAGGAGAUUCUAUGAAUCUUGAAAGCUUACUGUGUUACAGUUGUCAACAGACUGUCAAAGAUAUGACAUCAGUGGAGUUUCUUCCUCAAUACAUAAUGUCUGAGGCCCAGAGGAGGAAUAGAAGAUCUCAGAUUAGACAUGAGAUCAGCGAGUUCCUGCUGACUGAAGACGGCGACUCCCCAAGCAUCAAAGCUGAUUCUUAAUCCCUGGAGUGGCAUACCUGAAUGGGAACAAAAC